rnacentral:rRNA from 1 species
UUCGCAAUGCCCGAAAGGGUGAACGAGCGACGCCGCGUGCGGGAUGAAGGGUUUCGGCUUGUAAACCGCUUUUCUUUGGGAAGAAGGCCUGUCUCGUGAAGAUGGGCUCGACGGUACCAGAGGAAUAAGCCUCGGCUAAGUUCGUGCCAGCAGCCGCGGUAAGACGAACCGUGCGAACGUUGUUCGGAAUCACUGGGCUUAAAGGGCGCGUAGGCGGGCCGCAAAGUCAGGGGUGAAAUCCUCCAGCUCAACUGGAGAACUGCCUUUGAUACUGGCGGCCUGGAGUAAGGUAGGGGCAUGCGGAACUGACGGCGGAGCGGUGAAAUGCGUUGAUAUCGGAAGGAACUCCGGCGGCGAAAGUGAUGCACUGGCUGGUUUCUGACGCUGAGGUGCGAAAGCCAGGGGAGCAAACGGGAUUAGAUACCCCGGUAGUCCUGGCCGUAAACGAUGGGCACUAAGUAGAGGGGUUUU